rnacentral:rRNA from 1 species
AUUGAACGCUGGCGGCAGGCCUAACCCCUGCAAGUCGAACGAGUGGCGGACGGGUGAGUAAUGUCUGGGAAACUGCCUGAUGGAGGGGGAUAACUACUGGAAACGGUAGCUAAUACCGCAUACCAUCGGAUUGGCCCAGAUGGGAUUAGCUAGUAGGUGGGGUAACAGCUCACCUAGGCGACGAUCCCUAGCUGGUCUGCGAGGAUGACCAGCCACCCUGGAACUGAGACACGGUCCAGACUCCUACGGGAGGCAGCAGUGGGGAAUAUGGGACAAUGGGGGCAAGCCUGAUGCAGCCAUGCCGCGUGUAUGAAGAAGGCCUGCGGGUUGUAAAGUACUGUCAGCGGGGAGGCGUUACCCGCAGAAGAAGCACCGGCUAACUCCGUGCCAGCAGCCGCGGUAAUAC